UGGUAUUGGCUUAAUCAUCCAGGCUAAUGGGACCGUGGCUACAGCAAUGACUCAUCACGACGCUGCAUCUAGGGAGUGUAGAAAAAGCCAACUCUCUAUGCCUUUUUCUCGCUAAAGAUACAGCCCCUUGAAGACCUCCGCAGGCAUCCUCUCAGAUCUCCUCAGCUGGCACUGGGUCGCACACCAGCUUCUGGAUGAGAUCCCCCAGAGCAGAGAGCUCCUCUCCAGGCACGUGACUCUGUGGAAGGGAGCUCUGUUGCAGACUCAGGAGGCCAGCCAGGGCUCACCACAACUGGUCACAGGUCUACUGAGUACAGGGGAAUGGGUUGAUUUCCUCCAUGGAGCUGUGCGUCUUUCCCUAUAGCAAUGCUGGCUAACUGCAAGGCUCAAGCUCAAGGAUUGUCUCUGAGGAUCAUCUACUUCUGAGGUUCCCAACUGAAGUUUUCCCUAAUAAUGGUUGGAGACUACUUGGGUUGUGGCAACUGGGGGUGGCGGUCUGGCUCUCUGGGGCCUUUUUGUAGUUUAUGGGAAACCGGCUCCACUCAUUGCUGUGUAGCAACCACAGGAAGUAAAAUGGGGCUGUGUGCAGAGCUGGUUCUUCUAGUAGCCUCUCCAGUGGAGGUGGGAAGGUAA
rnacentral:lncRNA from 1 species